GACCUCCGUUGUUGGUUGACAAGGACAGGGUUACAAGCCCGAAUCCUUGGGAACCUGAGUAUCGUAGAUAGCGCUGCUGCCUGAGCAGUGGCUAAUCAUGACAACUGCUGCUAGCAUUAAUAUCCAGAGGUUCAUUCAGCAUAUAUCCAUCUUCAGAGGUAUAAAAAUGAUUGGUGAUUGUAUAUUGAUGAUUUAAAAUCCUAGAAAAUUGUAGCCCUCAUGUUCAACAAUGGGUGAGCUUUUUGAGGUGAUAUAUCAUAGUACUAUUUAAAAAGCACUAGUAGGGAUAGUUAUAGAAAUAAGAAUG
rnacentral:sRNA from 2 species